rnacentral:sRNA from 2 species
AUGGACUCCUCGUACACUGCGGUUCCUGCGCGCCGUCCACGCCCGUCUGUUGACUGCCCGUUACGUCUUGUUAGCC